UAUUGUUUCUUGAAAAAGUUUUCUAUUUUGGAUUCUCAGAAAGUUUUCAAGUUCAUGCUUUGCUUACUAAAUUUUGUUUCUUUUUGGAAAUGGAAAUCCUUGAAAGUUUGUUUCAAGAUUCAUAUUUCUUAAUUUUUUAUUUAAUUCAAAUUAAAAAUCAUUCAAUUUGGGCUUCUGAAUCAUUUCAAGUUCAAGUCAUAAUUUUAUUGUAAAUCUUCACCUCACCCGAGAUCAAGCUUUAUUCGAUGCUUUAGUGCUUGAGCAUUCUUCCCUUCAGAGGGGAGAUUUUUGCCUUUAAAGAUAGGUCAGAGGAUGAUGAAGAGAUCCUGCAAUACCUCUUGGUACUGGCCAUGAGAAACUCAUUUAUUGAAAGAUGUGUAACAUUUUACGGAGAGUACAUUUAUUUUUUGUGUUAAUUUUCAUAUUAUUUGGAUCUAUAUACGAACACUUGGGACCUUAUGACCACUUCAAUAUUUUUUUAAAGAAACUAUAAAUUUUGCGCGCUUGACUGUAGAAACCUCGUGUGGCAAUCCUGUUGAAAUCUUUGGUUCUGUUUGACAUGGCUCAAUAAAUUGUUUACAGGAUGAUUCCCCAUAAGACUAAGCGUGGUGUAGCUGCACUUGCUCGGUGAAAGGUUUAUGAAGGAAUCCCACCUUCAUAUGACAACAUUAAGAGGAUGGUCAUCCCUGAUGCUCUCAAGUUAGUUCUUUUAUGACCAGUAAUAUGUCUGUUCCGCUCAUCUUUCAUAUAGUUGUGGUUUGCUAAAAAAGUUAUCUUUUGAAAAUCAGGGUUCUGAGGCUUGGAUGUUGGAUGGAACUAUUAUGAUACUAUCAAGGUGAGAUUUAAAUACCUAAUUAUUAUGUGCUUAUGACAAAAAGGCUUUUUCUAGGCUUCUUGUAUGUUUUACUUUUGAAUAAUGCAAUAAAUUCUGUUUUUGCAUCUGAUUUGAUCAAUGAUAGUAUUUGUGAUAUGUUAUUUUUUGUGUUAUAGCCAACGCUUUCAUACAUGAUAUCUCCCGAAUGUUUUUCCUUUUGCUUUUUAUUCAUGAACUUUAUGAGUUUGUGCCAUUAUACUUCAAAAUGAGUAGUACUGUGUUGGUGACCAUUGGCUGAUGUUGGUGACCAAUUAGUCACUCAUAACUUGAUGCAGGGAAAUUUGAAGUGGACAAUGAUUUGUUUGAUUUUGGAUCUGUUGUUUCAUGGUUAGCUGAGAAUUGAUGGGUUUUACUGGUACGAAAAAUGUAUAUAGAUAUAGAGGUGUUUAGAUUUGUAAAUAUGUCUGCAUUUUGGUAAUACAAUGAUAUAUUUGCGUGCUUAUUAAGAUAAUUCAUUUCUUAUUAGUAGUAAUUCUCUCUCUAAUUGAAGUUGGUUGUUUUUAAAAAAAAAAACUCUCCCUUACCCAUCAUUCCUUUUCUUAUUGUUUCUUGAAAAAGUUUUCUAUUUUGGAUUCUCAGAAAGUUUUCAAGUUCAUGCUUUGCUUACUAAAUUUUGUUUCUUUUUGGAAAUGGAAAUCCUUGAAAGUUUGUUUCAAGAUUCAUAUUUCUUAAUUUUUUAUUUAAUUCAAAUUAAAAAUCAUUCAAUUUGGGCUUCUGAAUCAUUUCAAGUUCAAGUCAUAAUUUUAUUGUAAAUCUUCACCUCACCCGAGAUCAAACUUUAUUCGAUGCUUUAGUGCUUGAGCAUUCUUCCCUUCAGAGGGGAGAUUUUUGCCUUUAAAGAUAGGUCAGGGGAUGAUGAAGAGAUCCUGCAAUACCUCUUGGUACUGGCCAUGAGAAACUCAUUUAUUGAAAGAUGUGUAACAUUUUACGGAGAGUACAUUUAUUUUUUGUGUCAAUUUUCAUAUUAUUUGGAUCUAUAUCCGAACACUUGGGACCUUAUGACCACUUCAAUAUUUUUUUUAAAGAAAUUAUAAAUUUUGCGCGCUUGACUGUAGAAACCUCGUGUGGCAAUCCUGUUAAAAUCUUUGGUUCUGUUUGACAUGGCUCAAUAAAUUGUUUACAGGAUGAUUCCCCAUAAGACUAAGCGUGGUGUAGCUGCACUUGCUCGGUGAAAGGUUUAUGAAGGAAUCCCACCUUCAUAUGACAACAUUAAGAGGAUGGUCAUCCCUGAUGCUCUCAAGUUAGUUCUUUUAUGACCAGUAAUAUGUCUGUUCCGCUCAUCUUUCAUAUAGUUGUGGUUUGCUAAAAAAAGUUAUCUUUUGAAAAUCAGGGUUCUGAGGCUUGGAUGUUGGAUGGAACUAUUAUGAUACUAUCAAGGUGAGAUUUAAAUACCUAAUUAUUAUGUGCUUAUGACAAAAAGGCUUUUUCUAGGCUUCUUGUAUGUUUUACUUUUGAAUAAUGCAAUAAAUUCUGUUUUUGCAUCUGAUUUGAUCAAUGAUAGUAUUUGUGAUAUGUUAUUUUUUGUGUUAUAGCCAACGCUUUCAUACAUGAUAUCUCCCGAAUGUUUUUCCUUUUGCUUUUUAUUCUUGAACUUUCUGAGUUUGUGCCAUUAUACUUCAAAAUGAGUAGUACUGUGUUGGUGACCAUUGGCUGAUGUUGGUGACCAUUGGUUGUGUGUAGCAUACUUGUAACUUCUUCAUUGGAAUAGUAUUCUUCGACUAAUGGGUUUAA
rnacentral:lncRNA from 1 species